rnacentral:lncRNA from 1 species
CACAGUUCUCUAACAUUAGUGUUAUUAGGUAUUUAACUCCUGCCUCUUCCUCUUUUCUUCUUAUCCUACCCAAUCCAGUUGUUCGAAACAGAACAAUAAUACACAUGUACACACAGUAAUUGUAUAUAGAUCCAGUGGAAGAAGUGGGAAAAGCUCCGUUGGUUUAACUGAGGAGACUCACUCAGAGGAGCCAGGUCAGAUGAUGGGAGGAGCUCCACAGGCAGUGAAGUGCCCAUGUCUGGGGCACAACGUCAGAAUGCAGGAUUGGCACUUCCUAGUGUGGCUGCAGCUGUGGCACCAUUUGGAAGCAGUGAUUUCCCAGGACAAACCUGCUACAGCCUGGUGGAAUUUGGGUAGAGAGUAAUACCCAUCUACAUGACCCAGUGGUUUCAUGGGGAGGCAAAGAGCACUCAGAUGGGUGUGCUGACAUGUGAAACAACACACAUUUGUGAGUCUGCAGGGAAUUAUUGAUUGUAAGGAUUUGAAUUUUCUUGGGAGUUUGCUGUUUUCAGCAUAGAUUGUAAAAAAGGUCUUUGCACUAUUGGUGCUUUCAUCCUCCCUUAAAUAUUUGUUCCCUUUGAUAUUCCUGGUCAGAUCCUCUUCUGUCUCAGUUUGGAAAGGCCUGAUCAGAAGAGAGAGAAAGGCUUCUCAGGACCACC